AGCAGCCGCGGUAAUUCCAGCUCCAAUAGCGUAUAUUAAAGUUGUUGCAGUUAAAAAGCUCGUAGUUGAACUUCGGGGUUUACCCAUUGGUCAGGCUUAAUUGUCUGUACUGGUGAGAUAAAUCUCUACCUUCUGAGGAACUUUCAUGUCAUUAAUUUGGUGUGAUUGGAAAUCAGGACUGUUACUUUGAAAAAAUUGAGUGUUUAAAGCAGGCUAACGUCUGAAUACAUUAGCAUGGAAUAAUGAAAUAGGACGGACUGAUUCUAUUUCGUUGGUUCUAGGAUCACCGUAUGAUUAAUAGGGAUAGUUGGGGGCAUUAGUAUUCAAUUGUCAGAGGUGAAAUUCUUGGAUUUAUUGAAGACUAACUACUGCGAAAGCAUUUGCCAAGGAUGUUUUCAUUAAUCUAAGAACGAAAGUUAGGGGAUACGAAGACGAGUCAGAUACCGUCGUAGUCUUAACCAUAAACUAUGCCGACUAGGGAUCGGAUGAUGUUAAUUUUUUAAUGA
rnacentral:rRNA from 1 species